rfam:Tenacibaculum sp. LPB0136, complete genome.
UAUAUUUGCAGCUUCAAUGAAAAGUCAUUGAUAUACAUAAUAAUCAUUUAAAUAAUAUUGGAAUG